rnacentral:pre_miRNA from 1 species
UGGCAGCAGGUGAUUGCUGAGGCUGAGGCUUCUUUAGGCCCCAGCUCUCACCUCCCACU